GAGAUCGUAAUACAAGUAGUAUAUUUCACUUACAAUGAAAAGGUGGAGAAUUCCCGAUUUUU
rnacentral:tRNA from 1 species